UGUGGAUGACUGCCUGGUCGUGCGGUUUGCGCACUCGACUGUCAUUUGAAUUUAUUGAUGGUCAUGGGCUCAAACCAUGCCCACUCCUGCGGGAGGUCUUCAUGUCUGACCAAACUAUGAUAUCUAGAUCUAUAUGGUGACUAUGACUAUGAGUAAACUAAGGGACAGUCUACUAGAGUCUAGAUCGGAAUCUAGAUCAAGUAUUACAGUAAGACUACGGUAUUAGUGACAGUAAGAAAGCCAAAGUGCUGCCUGUAAUCCUGUAUUGUUGCAUGAUUUAGAAUCUUAGUGCAUCCAGAAAUCCAGUCCAUUCCUGUAUGAUUUAUGUAUAUGAUGAUCAAGUCAUGUAUAUUUAUCACAUAUGAUGUCAAGAUGAUGAAAUUUAUCACUACAUCUAGAUCUUAUUUAACCUAUUUAAUACAAAAUAGUUAUUUUGAAAGAAAUACUGUUAAAAGACAUCGUAAAAUAUGAAUAGAGCAAAUUUUUUUUGUUGUUUUAAUGUCAUUAUUUUUCAGUCAUUUUGCAGGAAACACUGUCCAUCCAUCCAUCCCAAUGGCACUACAGCCCAUGGAGGGCUUUAGCUGGCUUCAACACAUCCCUCCAUUCAGAUCUCUCCUUAGCCUUUUAUCUCUGUCACUAUCUGUGGGUCUUCAUACAGUUGAUAUAUCUCAUGGUAUGAAGUCACUUAUACUAGUGAGGCACUAGGCUUAACCAGUAACUAUGUCCUGAGAGAAGUGAAAGGGGAUCGUCCAGAUGUACAGGAUAUGAUUAUCCUGAUCACGGGCCGAAAGUUAUCAUUUCCUUUUUCCACGAAAAGGGAAGCAGAGAAGUUAAAAAGGAAAACAUCCUUAAAGACAUGUCCAAACCUCCCGCAGGGUGACGGGGAUGGGAGCAGGCAGGGUUUGAACUAGAGACCAUCGAUAAAUCCGAUCGACAGUCCAGCGCGCAAACUGCACGACCUGGCAGUCAGGAUCGUUAUCUGGGUACAUCUCUUAUGGCUAAAAUGACCAGUGUGUGUGUUUUGUAUCAAGGAUAUGCAUGUUGUUGGUUUUGAAAAAAUGUUUGAUGUGACUGCCAAGGCUUUUUACAAAUCUUUUGUAUCACAUACAACUCAAUUUACUUCUAUUGGCUGGAAAUAUUUAAAGCAUGACAGUGGCAUAGGUAAAUUACCAAAUAGUGGAUCUUAUGUUGGAUUGAUCAGCCCUGAUGAACUGACCUGACCAUUGUAAUUGAAACCAUAACUCAUGACCACUCUAUCUGUAUAGGUCCUGGUAUACCCUGGGAUGAUGUUCACCCACAACUUUUAACUUGAAAUCUUAAAGGAAGUUUUGCUAAACUAACAAGCAUGAAUGUCUGGUACAGUAAGAUAGGGUUAAUGGUCAACCUGACAUUAUGGUUCAUUCAUUGGGACAGCUAAUGUUUGUGUCUGACCUAGCAGUUCUCAAGUUAGGGCUUGAUGAAGUCUACAAACUGACCACUAUAUCUACUGGACAAAAAGGAUCAUGUUCUGACCCCCUCCCUCCCAACCAUUUUCUCUGCCUUAUCUUGAUGACUUUGAAGGGUACAAAUGCACUUGGAGCUUUUGAUGGUGUUCUGUUCAAUGCAACAAUUCCCACAUCUCCAGCAGCUGGCUUUGCAGCUAUUGGCGCAGACAGUUAUGGCUUGGAUGAUUUUGAUAAUUAUCUGCUUCCGCUCUUCAAAACUCAAACGCACGUCUGCCAUGUUGCAGUUAAUUCCUUGCCACUCUGGUACUGUGUGUGGUACAGAACCACCUUCACAUUUAUUUUUCUAAUUAGACAUUAAGCUUUCCAUGUGCUGAAAUUUAGCAUUGUAGAACCAUAACUAUUAACCUUUUAGAUUGUUAUCUUUCGUAAUGUUAAGACUAGAAAACAAGAUCUCAAAAUUAUAUUUAGGACGAGGAUUACAAUUACUUAGUCAAUUACUUAGAUAAAAUAAUUAUAAAACAAAAGUUAUAUAAAGACAUAAUUAUACAAUGUUUAUGUUUUGUAUGUUCAUAAAAAUGUGUAUAGCAGUGUUAUGGAGUGUGUGUGUGGGUGUUUCCAAGGUAACGUUGAGAAAUUAGCGAUUGGUUGGUGGAUAUGCAGUGAGGAUGGUGAAAUUACAAAAAUGGUCUAGUGUAAUGCAAAUUACCCAGGGAUCUGAAACUGUACAGACAGGUUUUUUGUAGUGAGUUAGAUUUUGUUUAAAAUACCAUUUUAUGUUAUUGCUACUAGAUUUAUUUCAUUUCAUCUAGGUUAGUAUUAGGGUUAGUGUUAUGUUGUAAUAAAAGUUAUAUUUAGUUUUGUUUCAUAAAAAGAAGAUUUUUCAAGUUUCACAAUUAAAUAUAUAUAUAUAUAUAUCCAAGCAGUAGUUCUCACCAAACUUUCAUACGCUGGCAGAACUACCUUAAAAAAAAAUGUUCUGCUGGAGGCUGGUGUGGGUAGUAUAGAAGAAAUACUUAUCAUUCAACAGCUGUGAUGAGUUGGAUAAUUAUCCCACAUGGGGGGCGACUGCAUGCCAAAUGGUAUCUUCAAGGAUGGCAUAACGGGGUGCUCCUGUAAGCACUAUAAAGAUUAACUCAGGCACCUUUUUGCCAUAGAGGAAAGUAGGUUGUAAUAGGGUUUCUGAAAACACUGCACUCAUCUUUUAUCUUCAGCAUCAUUAUUAUUAUUAAACCAUUACUCAAAUUUUGCUUUGUUAUUUUGCCAUGUAGAGAUUUACUGCUGGGGUGAACAAUGCUUAAAAAAAUACAAAUAUGCUGUGUUUUUACUUUGGCUCAGCGUUGGCUCCCACAUUUAUGUCUUUUGUAUUUUUCUAUUAUACCAGUUCUGUUACUAUGCAAAUGCAAAAAAAAAAAAAAAAUACAAGUUGUUGCACUAUUGAUAUUUUUUAUACUAAUUUUUUAUUUAUAUUAUUAAUUAUUUAUUAUUAUCUAAGCAUCUGUUUGUAUUUGAGCUGGGUAAUGAAUAUAGAUUCUUAAAUUUAAUUGUUGUUUGUUGCUUUCCUCACUUUUAAACUGUGACCAUGUAAAUUUUGUCUAGAUGGAGAAUGGUAAUGUAUUAGUGUCAAUGAUUACAUUGAGAAUGGUAAUGUCUUAGUGCCAAUGAUAACAGUGAGACAAUCAUUAGAUUGAGGAUGGUAAUGUCUUAGUGUCAAUGGUGUAACACUAUGAUUAGAGUGAGAUGGACGAGAUGAUUUCAGUUCACGUGAAAAUGGGUCUUACACAUUGUCAAGCAAAGAGGUACCAUUUUUGAUCACACGACCACUUUUUUUUUAGUAAGUUAGCGCCAUGAUGUAUCAAGAGACGGAGGUGUCUCUGUUUUAUGAAAUUGGAUUAAAUAAUAUGAGUACCUAAUUGGAGCUUUUUCUAUGGAUGUAGUUUGUAUUUGAUAUGAAAUAAUUCGUGAUGCUAUUUUAUGGCUGAGAUUGCCUACUUUCUGAACUAUUAUUUGAUGUAAUAAAUAUUUGUCUGACA